GCAAUGACAAUAAAGUAAACUAAACUACUCUGAAGGCUGAGGCUGGCGGAUUGCUUGAGCUCAGGCAUUCUGGGCUGCAGCGGGCUAUGCCGAUCGGGGGUCCGCACACGGUGAUCCCUAGGGAGCUGAGGGACACCAGGGGUGAACCGGCCCAGGUCAGAGACAGAGCAGGUCAAAACUCCUGUGCCAAUCAGUAGUGAGAUAAUGCCUGUGAAUAGCUACCUGCAGCGUAGCCUGAGCAAGACAGCAAGACCCAGACUCUU
rnacentral:SRP_RNA from 1 species